rnacentral:rRNA from 1 species
AUCGAUGAAGAACGCAGCGAAAUGCGAUAAGUAAUGUGAAUUGCAGAAUUCAGUGAAUCAUCGAAUCUUUGAACGCACCUUGCACUCCUUGGUAUUCCGAGGAGUAUGCCUGUUUGAGUGUCAUUAAAUUCUCAAACCUUCAUUGGUUCUUGCAACUUUUGAAGGCUUUGGAUGUGGGAGUUGCUGGUUUUUCGCAAAGUCAGCUCUUCUUAAAUGCAUUAGUGGUUACUGUUCUCCACUUCGACGUGAUAGUUAUCUGCGUCUAUGGGUGGAGAUGUUAAGUGUAGCUGCUCUCUAACUGUCCAAGAUAUUUUGGACAAUUUUUGAACCAUUUGACCUCAAAUCAGGUAGGACUACCCGCUGAACUUAAGCAUAUCAAUAAGCGGAGGAAAAGAAACUAACAAGGAUUCCCCUAGUAACUGCGAGUGAAGCGGGAAAAGCUCAAAUUUAAAAUCUGGUGGUUCUUGCAGCCAUCCGAAUUGUAAUUUAGAGAAGUGUUAUCCGCGCUGGACCGUGUAUAAGUCUCCUGGAAUGGAGCGUCAUAGAGGGUGAGAAUCCCGUCUUUGACACGGACUACCAGGGCUUUGUGAUGCGCUCUCGAAGAGUCGAGUUGUUUGGGAAUGCAGCUCAAAAUGGGUGGUAAAUUCCAUCUAAAGCUAAAUAUUGGCGAGAGACCGAUAGCGAACAAGUACCGUGAGGGAAAGAUGAAAAGAACUUUGGAAAGAGAGUUAAACAGUACGUGAAAUUGUUGAAAGGGAAACGCUUGAAGUCAGUCGCGUUGUCUGGGGAUCAACCUUGCUCUUUUGCUUGGUGUACUUCCUAGUCGACGGGUCAACAUCAGUUUUGACUGUUGGAAAAAGAUUAGAGGAAUGUGGCAUCUUCGGAUGUGUUAUAGCCUUUGGUUGUAUACAGCAGUUGGGACUGAGGAACUCAGCACGCCGCAAGGCCGGGAUUUAUCCACGUUCGUGCUUAGGAUGUUGGCAUAAUGGCUUUAAUCGACCCGUCUUGAAACACGG